rnacentral:rRNA from 1 species
UACAGAGGUCUCAAGCGUUGUUCGGAUUCAUUGGGCGUAAAGGGUGCGUAGGCGGCGUGGUAAGUCGGGUGUGAAAUCUCGGGGCUUAACUCCGAAACUGCAUUCGAUACUGCCGUGCUUGAGGACUGGAGAGGAGACUGGAAUUUACGGUGUAGCGGUGAAAUGCGUAGAUAUCGUAAGGAAGACCAGUGGCGAAGGCGGGUCUCUGGACAGUUCCUGACGCUGAGGCACGAAGGCCAGGGGAGCAAACGGG